GCAGCCGCGGUAAUACGUAGGUGGCAAGCGUUAUCCGGAUUUACUGGGUGUAAAGGGUGUGUAGGCGGAGAGGCAAGUCAGAUGUGAAAUUUACGGGCUCAACCUGUGAACUGCGUCUGAAACUGUUUCCCUUGAGUGUCGGAGAGGUAAUUGGAAUUCCAUGUGUAGCGGUGAAAUGCGUAGAUAUAUGGAGGAACACCGGUGGCGAAGGCGGAUUACUGGACGACAACUGACGCUGAGACACGAAAGUGUGGGGAGCAAACAGGAUUAGAUACCCC
rnacentral:rRNA from 1 species